UACGUAGGCAGCGAGCGUUGUUCGGAGUUACUGGGCGUAAAGGGUGUGUAGGCGGUUUUCUAAGUUUGGUGUGAAAUCUCCCGGCUCAACCGGGAGGGUGCGCCGAAAACUGGGAGACUAGAGUGCGGGAUGGGAGAGUAGAAUUCCUGGUGUAGCGGUGAAAUGCGUAGAUAUCAGGAGGAACACCUGCGGUGUAGACGGCUUACUGGACCAUAACUGACGCUGAGGCACGAAAGCGUGGGUAGCAAACAGG
rnacentral:rRNA from 1 species